rnacentral:tRNA from 1 species
UCCCUGGCAGUCCAGUGGUUAGGACUUGCACUUUCAUUGCUGUGGCCUGGGUUCGAUCCCCGGUUGGAGAG